UUUUUUUUUUUUUCUUUUUUUAGAUUUUAUUUAUUUAUUCAUGAGAGACCCAAAGAGAGAGAGAGAGAGGCAGAGACACAGGCAGAGGGAGAAGCAGACUCCAUGCAGGGAGCCCGAUGUGGGACUCUAUCCCGGAUCUCCACAUCAGGCCCCAGGCUGAAGGCAGUGCUAAACUGCUGAGCCACCCUGGCUGCCCUGAAAGAGAUCUUUUUUUCCUACUGUUACUAAAUAAUAACACUGUUAAAUUUAUCAGUAAACUGAUAAAUUUUAUGGGCAUGCAUAUUUAAAACCACAUUAUAUAAAUUAUUAAUUUACAUGCUCAGUUUUAUACAUUUUAAUUUUUUAAAAAUUUUUAUUUAUUUAUGAUAGUCACACAUAGAGAGGCAGAGCCAUAGGCAGAGGGAGAAGCAGGCUCCAUGCACCGGGAGCCCGAUGUGGGAUUCGAUCCUGGGUCUCCAGGAUCGCGCCCUGGGCCAAAGGCAGGCGCUAAACCGCUGCGCCACCCAGGGAUCCCAAUUUUAUACAUUUAUAUAUUAACAGUGAGAAUAAAAUUACUGUUUUCAUAAUACAAAUUGCAAAGCUGGUAGAAAAGUUUAGAAGAUACAAAGGUUCUGCAACAAAGCCACUAUCCUCUGAAGGGUACUGGUGAGAUUUUUAUGUUUAACAAAAGGGGGAGCAGAAUAUUGGGUUGCCAAGGACUGUAUCCGGUAGGCGAGGGUUUGUCAACCAGAAUCAGAAUCCCCUGGCGGGGGGGGGUGGGGGGGGGGGGGGGGGUUUCCAUUUUCUUUUUUAAGAGAUUUUUAAAUUUAUUUUGAGAGAGAGAGCAUGAGAAUGUGUGAAUUGUAGUAGCAGAGAGGGACAAGCAGACUCCCCACUGAGCAGAGAUCAUGACCUGACCUGAAAUCAAGAGAGUUGUUGGCCCAACUGACUGAGUCACCCAAUACCCCUGGAGGGGGUGGGUCUCAUUUUCAAAAGCAAAUUCCUGGGCCCUACCUAUAUUAGUCAGGGUUCUCCAGAGAAACGGAACCACUAGGGUAUAGAUAGGUUGAGACAUAGACAAGUCCCGAGAUCUGCACUGGGCAGGUUGGGGACCCAAAGAGGGUCGAAUCAGAAGGCAGGAAGAGACCCAACGUUCCAGUUCAAUGAGCCAGGCAGGAGUUACUGCUCUUUACUCAGCCUUUUUGUUCUAUUCAGGUCUUUGACCAAUCGAAUAAGGACCCCUCACAUGAGGAGGAGGCAGUCAGUCUGCUUUUCUCUGGCUACUCACUCAAAUGUUAAUCUCCUGAAACACCCAGAAUAAUGUUUGACAGCAGGUCCUUGGCACCCUAUGGUCCUUCCACUUCACCAUACAGUGCAUACUGAAAUUUGAGACCUUUGCAGGUCACUUGGAAUCCUGGAAGGUUUUCAAGAUGGGAAGCGAUUUGAUAAUAUUAUCUGGGAACCAUUUACAAAGGGAUCCCUGGCCUUUGGGUGGGAGGUGAAGGGUGGUGGGAGAGGGAAGGUGAGAUGGGAUACAGUGAGGUAGAACCAGAUUGGAGAUCAGGACGCAGUGGUGAGAAAGCGUCUUCUCUACAGUGCUGAGGACUCCUGUUCCCCUCCCUGUUGCUACAUUACAAAUGACCCCAGUGCUUAGCUUAAAUAAUAGCAGAUCAGGAAUUUGAGAAGGACAGCCCUGGGCAGUUGAAGCUUGCAAUGUCCUCUGUUGUUGCACUUAGAUGUUGGGUGAGGCUUUUGUCACCUCCUUCUGACUGGGACCCACAGGAGGUCAUUCAUAUGGGUGACAUUCGACACUACCUCUCUAGCAUAGUAGUCUGACUUCUUCCAUGGCAUCAGGCUUCACUGCAAGAGAAACAGGCAGGAGCUUUUUCUGGACCUAGGCCCAGAAGUCACACAGCAUCACAUCUACUUUCUUUCUUAGUCAAAGCAGUCCCGAGCCUGCCCAGAUUCAAGGGGAGGGCAAUUAGUCCCCACCUUUUGAUGUGGGCAGCAGCCAGGUCCCAGUGUAGAAGAGCAUGUGAGAUGGGAGAUACCGCAGCGAUCUCUGGAAGAUAUGUUCUGACAUAGCUCCCAAGCCCACCUCUUUUGUCCUGACCUGCUUACUCCUUUUUUUGUUUGUUUUUUUUAAGAUCUAAAAAAUGUAUUUAUUCAUGAGAGACAUAGGCAGAGGGAGAAUCAGGCUCCCUGUGAGGAGCCUAAUGAAGGACUCGAUCCUAGGACCCCAGGGUCACGACCUGAGCCGAAGGUAGAUGCUCAACCUCUGAGCCACCCGGUCUAAAAAUUUAUCACAAAACUAUCUCAAUAAUCUUUUUAUUUUGUUAUUGUGAUAACCUUAAAAAGCACAUAAUAGACUACUCCUUUUCUUUCUCUAAAGAUAACUUGCUACACACUCCUAUCUUUUCUUCCUUCUUCACAUUGGCUCUUGAAUUCUCUUCAUCCCCUGCCAUCACCCGGUCUGAUCCCUCCUCUCCCCUUGGCCUUUGCUGCUCUUCCCACCUCCAUCCCUUCCCUUGCUCCUAUCCAUUUACAUAUCCCAGCCUGGUUAGUGUUGCCCGAGUCCCACACCGCACUUUCCUCCUCCAUAUUCUGGAGUGGCCUCUAAUGGAAGUCCACUCAUCUUGCUUUCUGCCAAUGAGUCCCCUGGAAAGUGAACUGUGAAACAGUAUAAUUGAGCAUGCAAGGUGUUUCUCCAGGAU
rnacentral:lncRNA from 1 species